UUCCAGUUUAAAAGAAUUGGACAAUACAGAAGGUCAUAAGCUGAGACUCUUGGACUUCACACUUCAUAAAGGUGAACUGAUAGAUGUUAAAGGAAAGAAGGGAUUGAAAUGAAGAUGACUUUGAAGCGUCUGCUUUAAAGGAUGCAAACACAUCUCGGUGCUUAAGCUGCAAAUAAAGCUGGCUGCUCCACGGGAGUGCAAUGCAAAUGGCAGGCAAAACAAGGUGAGCUUGUUCGGCUCCGUUUCAGUUUAAGGCAAAUGGACAACACUGUGCUCUUUAAAACCUUGUGACUUUCUCUUUUUAAAGGAGAAUGUUGCUCAUCAGGAUUUACUCAUUAAAUUUGUGAGCUCCUUCUGUCUGUGGGUGAGAGUGGUGAAGCCGCUCUGGGA